rnacentral:rRNA from 1 species
UACGUAGGGUGCGAGCGUUAAUCGGAAUUACUGGGCGUAAAGGGCGCGUAGGCGGCCAACUAAGUCGGACGUGAAAUCCCCAGGCUCAACCUGGGAACUGCGUCCGAUACUGGAUGGCUCGAAUCCGGGAGAGGGAUGUGGAAUUCCAGGUGUAGCGGUGAAAUGCGUAGAUAUCUGGAGGAACACCGGUGGCGAAGGCGGCAUCCUGGACCGGUAUUGACGCUGAGGCGCGAAAGCCAGGGGAGCAAACGGG